rnacentral:lncRNA from 1 species
CAGCAGGGUCGGCAGAGGAAGUCCUGGGAAAAUUACGAGAAACGGCUUGGGAUGAGGACGGCACCUUUGUGACGUGUGGUUUCGAAGGCCUUUAUCCGUCCCUAAGGAUGGAGCCUGUGACUGUGGCACUAUACAGAUUUCUACUGGCUAGUGUUCCACAAGCAGAGGACAGCGGCCUGUUUUUUACAGAAAUAACCUCACUCAUAUGCCAUGGUUUGUUUUUUGCAUACAAGGGAGGCUUUUGCGGGCAAACUCUGGGAGUUCCCAUGGGCAGCCCGAUGGCGGGCCCUUUGGCGGAUGUCCUCCUGGGGCGGAUGGAGCCGCGGACCAUCGACGGGUUCCGGCCGGAUCUAGGGUUGUGUGUGGGGUGCAUUGACG